rnacentral:rRNA from 1 species
AGUGAACGCUGGCGGUAGGCCUAACACAUGCAAGUCGAACGGCAGCACAGUAAGAGCUUGCUCUUACGGGUGGCGAGUGGCGGACGGGUGAGGAAUACAUCGGAAUCUACUUUUUCGUGGGGGAUAACGUAGGGAAACUUACGCUAAUACCGCAUACGACCUACGGGUGAAAGCAGGGGAUCUUCGGACCUUGCGCGAUUGAAUGAGCCGAUGUCGGAUUAGCUAGUUGGCGGGGUAAAGGCCCACCAAGGCGACGAUCCGUAGCUGGUCUGAGAGGAUGAUCAGCCACACUGGAACGGAGACACGGUCCAGACUCCUACGGGAGGGAGCAGUGGGGAAUAUUGGACAAUGGGCGGAAGCCUUAUCCAGCCAUACCGCGUGGGUGAAGAAGGCCUUCGGGUUGUAAAGCCCUUUUGUUGGGAAAGAAAAGCAGCAGGUUAAUACCCCGCUGUUCUGACGGUACCCAAAGAAUAAGCACCGGCUAACUUCGUG